rnacentral:rRNA from 1 species
AUUGAACGCUGGCGGCAGGCCUAACACAUGCAAGUCGAGCGGAUGAGUGGAGCUUGCUCCAUGAUUCAGCGGCGGACGGGUGAGUAAUGCCUAGGAAUCUGCCUGGUAGUGGGGGACAACGUUUCGAAAGGAACGCUAAUACCGCAUACGUCCUACGGGAGAAAGUGGGGGAUCUUCGGACCUCACGCUAUCAGAUGAGCCUAGGUCGGAUUAGCUAGUUGGUGAGGUAAAGGCUCACCAAGGCGACGAUCCGUAACUGGUCUGGGAGGAUGAUCAGUCACACUGGAACUGAGACACGGUCCAGACUCCUACGGGAGGCAGCAGUGGGGAAUAUUGGACAAUGGGCGAAAGCCUGAUCCAGCCAUGCCGCGUGUGCGAAGAAGGUCUUCCGAUUGUAAAGCACUUUAAGUUGGGAGGAAGGGCAGUAAGUUAAUACCUUGCUGUUUUGACGUUACCAACAGAAUAAGCACCGGCUAACUUCGUGCCAGCAGCCGCAGUAAAAC